rnacentral:lncRNA from 1 species
GCUUUUGAUCAUGAAACUGCUGAGAAAAGGCUCCUUCUAAACCACAAAACAAGAUAUGAAGACUGGAGUGAGCCCUCAUCAGCCAGAUGGACUGUUUCAUCUCUUCCGAAAUAGAAACCUCCAACCUACUCAGCCCUUUUGAGGCCAAAAAGAUACCCAUGGGCCCUCAAAAACCAACAGUCUCUACACCAGACUAAAACAAGUUUCCUAAAAGCAUUUUCCUUUUGGGCUCAUUUUUAUUACCUCUCCAUCCCAUGGUCCGAAGAUAAGAAUAAUUUGCAUAUAACAGUCAGUAUUAAAAUUUUUGAUUUGCAAUGGAUCAAUGAAUGACGAGGUCAGCCCAUCUGUGACUGAACCAAUCAAUGAAUGAGAAAUGGGUAGGUGAUAUUUACUGUCUUCUCUGUUCUAAGGCCUGGAGGGUGAGGGCAUUGAUCUACUAGUUUGCCCUUAUAUAUUUUCUUUGCUGGAGUUUCAACAUUUCUCCCUUUCAUUCUGCUGCAAUUGACCAAAACUUAAAUAGUCUGGGAGAGGUGGAGAAAGUAGAUCUAAUAGUAU